UACGUAGGGUGCGAGCGUUAAUCGGAAUUACUGGGCGUAAAGCGUGCGCAGGCGGUCUGUUAAGACCGAUGUGAAAUCCCCGGGCUUAACCUGGGAACUGCAUUGGUGACUGGCAGGCUUUGAGUGUGGCAGAGGGGGGUAGAAUUCCACGUGUAGCAGUGAAAUGCGUAGAGAUGUGGAGGAAUACCGAUGGCGAAGGCAGCCCCCUGGGCCAACACUGACGCUCAGGCACGAAAGCGUGGGGAGCAAACAGG
rnacentral:rRNA from 1 species